CCAGCUCUGACCCUGCAGCUCUGGGAGAGGAGCCUCAGCCCCGGGACUCCCAGGUCUGCCCACUGGCUGCUCAGGACUGAAGACAGACGACCCGCCAUGGAGUCUGGGCUGAGCUGGCUUCUCCUGGUUGCUCUCUUACAAGGUGUCCAGUGCGAGGUGAAGCUGGUGGAGUCUGGGGGAGGCUUGGUCCGGCCUGGGGGCUCCCUCGAACUCUCCUGCGCAGCCUCUGGAUUCACAUUCAGCAGCUACUGGAUGAGCUGGGUCCGCCAGGCUGAAGGCAAGGGACUGGAAUGGGUCUCAAGCAUCAAUAGCAAUGGUGGUAGCACAUACUACCCGGACUCCGUGAAGGGCCGAUUCACCAUCUCCAGAGACAACGGCAAGAACACUUUGCAUCUGCGAAUGAACAGCCUGAAGCCCGAGGACACCGCGGUGUAUUUCUGUGCGAGGGACACAGCGAGGAGAAGGCAGUGGGAGCCCAAACACAAACCUCCUGCGGAGCGUGGCCGCUAG